GUAACGGCGAGUGAAGCGGCAACAGCUCAAAUUUGAAAUCUGGCUCUCGGGCCCGAGUUGUAAUUUGUAGAGGAUGCUUUUGGUGAGGUGCCUUCCGAGUUCCCUGGAACGGGACGCCAUAGAGGGUGAGAGCCCCGUCUGGUUGGACGCCGAACCUCUGUAAAGCUCCUUCGACGAGUCGAGUAGUUUGGGAAUGCUGCUCUAAAUGGGAGGUAUAUGUCUUCUAAAGCUAAAUACCGGCCAGAGACCGAUAGCGCACAAGUAGAGUGAUCGAAAGAUGAAAAGAACUUUGAAAAGAGAGUUAAACAGUACGUGAAAUUGUUGAAAGGGAAGCGCUUGUGACCAGACUUGGGCUUGGUUGAUCAUCCGGGGUUCUCCCCGGUGCACUCUUCCGGCCCAGGCCAGCAUCAGUUCGCCCUGGGGGACAAAGGCUUCGGGAACGUGGCUCUCUCCGGGGAGUGUUAUAGCCCGUUGCGUAAUACCCUGUGGCGGACUGAGGUUCGCGCAUUCGCAAGGAUGCUGGCGUAAUGGUCAUCAGUGACCCGUCUUGAAACACGGACCAAGGAGUCGUCUUCGUAUGCGAGUGUUCGGGUGUCAAACCCCUACGCGAAAUGAAAGUGAACGCAGGUGAGAGCUUCGGCGCAUCAUCGACCGAUCCUGAUGUUAUCGGAUGGAUUUGAGUAAGAGCAUACGGGGCCGGACCCGAAAGAAGGUGAACUAUGCCUGUGUAGGGUGAAGCCAGAGGAAACUCUGGUGGAGGCUCGCAGCGGUUCUGACGUGCAAAUCGAUCGUCAAACAUGGGCAUGGGGGCGAAAGACUAAUCGAACCUCUAGAACUG
rnacentral:rRNA from 1 species